rnacentral:misc_RNA from 1 species
GAAAUGCGAUAAGUAAUGUGAAUUGCAGAAUUCAGUGAAUCAUCGAAUCUUUGAACGCACAUUGCGCCUAUUAGUAUUCUGGCGGGCAUGCCUGUCCGAGCGUCAUUUCAACCAUCAAGCCCCCGGGCUUGUGUUGGGGACCUGCGGCUGCCCGCAGGCCCUGAAAACCAGUGGCGGGCUCGCUGUCACACCGAGCGUAGUAGCAAUCACCUCGCUCAGGGCGUGCUGCGGGUUCCGGCCGUUAAACAGCCUUACAAAACCCAAGGUUGACCUCGGAUCAGGUAGGAAGACCCGCUGAACUUAAGC